UUGCAGGCUUGGAUUGCAAACUUUUUUAAAAAUGUUGUUCAAGCAGAAGUGAAAUAGAAGCAUUCAGACAUUUGGAGUUGUGUAGUAAAGCAUGUAGCUCACGAUUUGUCUGUCACUUUCGAAAUUCUUAGAUUUGGUGCAGACUGCAGUGCUCAUGAAUAUGUAGAACCUAAUGUGGUACUUGAGAGAGGACUGAAAGUUUGCUUGAUAAAGUGAUUGGUUUCUUACCGACAAAGCGAUCGACGUUAUUGAUGAAGAUGGGUCUUUGGUUCGACUAUGCCAUGCUCAGGUUGAUAGUUGCAUGUUUCUCACAUUAUGGUGUAGACUUCUUUUUUUUGUUAAUUGGCUACGGUGCGGAGACUUCAUAGAAGAAUUAUUGGUUAAAAAGUAUCCUAUGUACUUUAUCUUUGUGUAGUAUUUCUUUAAUUCUACAUAUAUAAUCACUUUUGUGUUCGCUGAGAACAUAUUUGCAAAGUGUGCAUUUACAAAAUUUAGUUAUCAGUUCUCAUAUUUUUCUUUUCU